UCAGCUCUUUAUAAUUUAGGAAAAUUAAUUGUAAUGUUAUCGUAACAAUUGUAUCGUACAUUCGUACGCAAAGAGUUUUCCGUACAAACUAUGUAAUAAAGUUGCUAGGUGUUUUAAGACUGAUUUUAACCGUGUUCACACGGUUAUAUAAAUCAGAAUCACCAGAGUCCACGGCUUGCUGCCACGGUUUAGGUCUCCUGGUCCAACAAUAAUGGAGUACUAGCUACCUCGAAGCAGCCGCCGCACCAUGCCGCCGGCCGCUAGAUGAGCUUGUCGAGGAGAUCUUGCUCCGCCUCCCGCCGGAUGAGCCGGAGCACUUCAUCCGGGCCUCCGGGCCUGUAUUUUUUUUUUUCACUGCUCUUUUUUUACAUAAUCAGGCCAGUUUUUAGGCUAUUUUUUCCAGUUUUCCUAGACUGGGACAGGUUUGGGGCAUGUGUGUUCUUGUUUGAGGACUGUCUUAGGCUGUUGGGCUGUACACACUGGGCCUUGAUGAUGAACCACCGCGACCACGCUGGAGCACGUCUGAUUGGUUGUCGCAUAUCCGUGCAUGCAUGCAGCUGCACCAAUUAAAUUUAUUUUUAUUUUUUUUAUUUUUUUUGACGAAAGCAGCAGCUGCACCAAUUAAUCGAUGCACAUGAAAUCAUCACGUAAACAAACUCUCGGAGACGUACGAGCGCGCGUCGUUAUCCAUCUGAGCUUACCGGCUGCCGGGGCGACUGUCCACGUGGCAAAUGAAAAGAUUCUUUUAUGCACAACCAAAUGCACAAACAAGUGCAAGCAAUGCCUGUGAAACAGUGGAAUGCAAGUGCAUAAAUGAUGCAAACAAAACAUCACACGCAAGAAAGAGCAAUUGUUAGCCCAAAUGCAUUGCAAGCAUACUACUAUAAAUGAUUACGGACUACACUACAACAAAACAUAGUUUAAGUAACACAAUCUUGUAACACAUAGAAAAUUAUGUUACAAACUAUUUAUAGUAACACAUUAUAUGUGUUGCAUGGAUAGCCAGUAACACAUACUGCAUUAGAUCCAAAAUGUGUUACAAGACCAUUGCAAUAGUAACAUUUAUGCUUGUGUUUAGUAACAUAAAAACAUGUGUUCGUCUAUACGUGUUACAAGUUGUAGCUGCAGUAACACAUAAUUAUGUGUUAGUACAUAGUGUUACAAGCUAUAUAAGUCAGAUGCAAGUCAUUCACUACAAGAUCAUACACACACUAGAAAAGAGCCGCACCACUCGCACGUAACAACAAACCGUGUAUAUUCGACCGAGGUUUAAAUUUGAAAUAAUUUUAGUGUAAAACAUUAAACGAAUGUAGCAUGCGUGUGGCAUGGAACCUGAAUAUGCCUACAACUUAUUAGCAACCAUCAGUAAUAUAGUAUUGCAAAGUCAACCCAACUAUUACACAUAAAGUCCAACAAAGAAAUAAUUACCCGCACAAAGGAGGAUUCACACUUCCCUACUUUAAAAAUAAGAAAAGAAUAGGAGGAGAUAGUUCAAAACUACCAAAUGAUAAUGACUGAUCAGGUCAGAUAUACACAUUGUUUCUUCAUUCAAUCAUCUAUUGGUGUUUUCAGCAUGAUUCAUAUCCUAGAUUCAGCAGAAGCAGAGCCCCAUACCAUUAUAAUUGAAUACCUAGCCAAGCUAAUGAUCUCACAUCAAUGUCCAAGAGUAAUAAACAUCAAAACUUA
rnacentral:lncRNA from 1 species